CUAGUUCUGACCAGAAUGAUCCUAGCAUGAGCUAUCCUGGGUCCCUUUCUCUCUUUGAUUCUCAGGACAUUGUAAUGCCACAAUACAUCUGACGGACCUCUUCAGGGAAUGGCCUGCAGUGAUGCCAUCUUCCUUUUCCUGGAUCACGUCUCCACCCGGAGACCCCGGUCUCUGCAGGAUGAGGAGAAAGUCAAGGUCAUCUUCAUCUACCUAAGGAGACCAGCCUGUGCUACAUGAGAUCCUGUCAUAAAAAUCAAAGCGGAGAUGGAGAUGGAGGAAGGAAGAAGGAGAGGAAACGAGAACGCAUUUGAAGAGUGAAUUUUUGAAUUUCUGAUCCUCCUGAAUCCAUAUCACGAAUAUUAAGAUCACAGGCAUGCUCUCUUUACCCAGACUACACCCAGAGUUUCUUGCAUGCAGUCUACCUACUGAGCUACACCCGCAACAGCUGGACAAAUAUAAAGGCGUUGGCAUAAAUGUAUAGCAAGUUCUGGCAUUUUUAGCGUCAUCUGGAAUUUAUAUCACUAUCUGCAAAAUGAUAAUGUUGAACAAUAAAUGUGGCUUUUAAAGGUCUUCCUACUUCU
rnacentral:lncRNA from 1 species